AGAGUUUGAUCCUGGCUCAGAUUGAACGCUAGCGGGAUGCUUUACACAUGCAAGUCGAACGGCAGCACGAGAGAGCUUGCUCUCUUGGUGGCGAGUGGCGGACGGGUGAGUAAUAUAUCGGAACGUGCCCAGUAGCGGGGGAUAACUACUCGAAAGAGUGGCUAAUACCGCAUACGCCCUACGGGGGAAAGGGGGGGAUCGCAAGACCUCUCACUAUUGGAGCGGCCGAUAUCGGAUUAGCUAGUUGGUGGGGUAAAGGCUCACCAAGGCAACGAUCCGUAGCUGGUUUGAGAGGACGACCAGCCACACUGGGACUGAGACACGGCCCAGACUCCUACGGGAGGCAGCAGUGGGGAAUUUUGGACAAUGGGGGAAACCCUGAUCCAGCCAUCCCGCGUGUAUGAUGAAGGCCUUCGGGUUGUAAAGUACUUUUGGCAGAGAAGAAAAGGCAUCCCCUAAUACGGGAUGCUGCUGACGGUAUCUGCAGAAUAAGCACCGGCUAACUACGUGCCAGCAGCCGCGGUAAUACGUAGGGUGCAAGCGUUAAUCGGAAUUACUGGGCGUAAAGCGUGUGUAGGCGGUUCGGAAAGAAAGAUGUGAAAUCCCAGGGCUCAACCUUGGAACUGCAUUUUUAACUGCCGAGCUAGAGUAUGUCAGAGGGGGGUGGAAUUCCACGUGUAGCAGUGAAAUGCGUAGAUAUGUGGAGGAAUACCGAUGGCGAAGGCAGCCCCCUGGGAUAAUACUGACGCUCAGACACGAAAGCGUGGGAGCAAACAGGAUUAGAUACCCUGGUAGUCCACGCCCUAAACGAUGUCAACUAGCUGUUGGGGCCGUUAGGCCUUAGUAGCGCAGCUAACGCGUGAAGUUGACCGCCUGGGGAGUACGGUCGCAAGAUUAAAACUCAAAGGAAUUGACGGGGACCCGCACAAGCGGUGGAUGAUGUGGAUUAAUUCGAUGCAACGCGAAAAACCUUACCUACCCUUGACAUGUCUGGAAUGCCGAAGAGAUUUGGCAGUGCUCGCAAGAGAACCGGAACACAGGUGCUGCAUGGCUGUCGUCAGCUCGUGUCGUGAGAUGUUGGGUUAAGUCCCGCAACGAGCGCAACCCUUGUCAUUAGUUGCUACGCAAGAGCACUCUAAUGAGACUGCCGGUGACAAACCGGAGGAAGGUGGGGAUGACGUCAAGUCCUCAUGGCCCUUAUGGGUAGGGCUUCACACGUCAUACAAUGGUCGGGACAGAGGGUCGCCAACCCGCGAGGGGGAGCCAAUCUCAGAAACCCGAUCGUAGUCCGGAUCGCAGUCUGCAACUCGACUGCGUGAAGUCGGAAUCGCUAGUAAUCGCGGAUCAGAAUGUCGCGGUGAAUACGUUCCCGGGUCUUGCACUCACCGCCCGUCAA
rnacentral:rRNA from 1 species